AUGCAGCCUUGUCCUGAAAAUCACAGUUCUCUUCCUGUUGGACCUGAGCCGCAUCCCAGCGUUACCUGUAGAGUCACCCCGCUCCAGGAGCCUGAACUGAGUCCACACACUGAACUCACAGACCUGCAGGGGGAGAUGGAAGAAAGAAAAUCAACAGGUUUUGAGGAUGAGAAGAACCCAAGUAAUGGCAGAGGAGGUGCUUUGCAAGAGAGAUUGCUGCAGUGGCAUCCAGGACUGUCAGUGGAAGUGGGGAAUGACAUGACACCACCUUUCGGACACCCAACUGGCAAGAGGCCACGCAGUCCAAGAAUUGGUCGCAGACUUGAAGAAACUCUUCCAGAACAAGAUACAUAA
rnacentral:lncRNA from 1 species